AAGAGUGAUGAUCUUGAACCCUUCAAGAACACAUACCACGCUAUGGCAAACAACAUAGUUUUCAGAAACACAUUUUAAAACUGCCUUACACAAGAACACACAGAAAUACAAUGUUCAAUGAAGAAGAGAAUAAAAUACACCUGGUAUACAAAGCUUAAGUUCAGAAGAAUACAAAAUUCAAUCCUAUUCCACACACUUGAGAUGAUCCAAAGCUUUUAAAAUCUUGAAAACUGUUUUUGAUAAACUUUAUUUCUUAGUUAAUGCAAAAAAGCGUAAAACAACCUUUAUAUAACCUCAAUUAAGUAGUCAAAGCAGUUAAAUCAAAAACCAAAAGCAAUUGGAAUAAUUUAAAACAGGUUAAACCACUUAACAAAAUUUUGUUAAGGUUUUCACAAAAAAAAAACUAGUUGAUUUAUCGAAACAACAAGUUGACUUUGUUUGACCGUAAAGCAAAAACAAAGCUAAGCUUUUCCAAACCAUUUUAAAAACCACUAAGUAUCGAACAAUCGAUUGAUUCGACAUUUCAACAUGUUGAAAUUUCACAACCUUUUAGAAAACCCAUCUUUUCAGAAAGGUAAAAAUUCAAUUGAACUUGGAUCAUCUUAAGGAAUUAAUUAACAAGUUUCAAACAACUAAACAACACACACCCAAUAACAAGGUGUUCAAGCUUUUCACUUGGAUUUGGAGUCAUCAAAGCAUCUUGUUCAACACCAUUCAGUUGAUGGUCAACCUUAGUUCAUCUUUAAGAUUGGAAUCUAGGCAAGCUAAACCUGAUCAAUCAAUGAUCAAUCUUAGUUUAUCUUUAAGACUGAAAUGUAGUCGAGCUACACCCGUUCAGUCGAUGUUCAACCUUAGUUUAUCUCUAAGACUGGAAUUUAGGACCCAUUUAGUCGAUGGUCAGCCUUAGUUCAUCUUUAAGACUAGAAUCUAGGACCCGUUCAAUCGAUGCUCGACCUUAUUUUAUCUCUUAGGUUGUUUAUCUCUAAGAAUGUUUAUCUCUUCUAAGGUUGCCGAGCUAGACCCAUUUAUUCGAUGGUCAACCUUAGUUUAUCUCUAAGGUUGAAAUCUAGCUAAGCUAGACCCGUUCAAUCAAUGUAGAUUUUGCCCAACCGUACUAGGUUGUAGAUUUUUUCUCUGUCGUAAUAGAAUUUGUCUAGUCAUGUUGAGUUGUAGAUUUUAUAUUGUAGAUUUUCUUUCUUAAUAGAUUUCGCCCAAUCAUGUUGAGUUAUAGAUUUUAUAUUGUAGAUCAUCUAUCAGUCGUAACAAAUUUCGUCUUGUUGUGCUAGAUUGUAGAUUUUAUAUUGUAGAUCUUCUUUCUAUUGUAGCAGAUUUUGACCGAUUAAACUAGAUUAUAUAUUUUUUUUCUAGAUCUUCUCUUUGUCAUAAAAGAUUUUACAUGAUUGUGCUGGAUUGUAGAUUUUCUCACCAAAUGUAAUUAACAUGUAAAGGAAUUAGACACAUUUUAAAAAGAAGCAUUCAACUUAUUGGAUACUUAUUUUUUACUAUUUAAAAAAUUAUCUAUUACAACUAAAUAUUAAAAUACUUUCAAACAAAAGUUAUCUUUUAUUUUUUUUUUCAUCAAGGAUAACAUCGUUUCUUCUUAUAAUAAAAUUGCAUAAUUUAAGAAGAAAAAUUAUAAUUUUUAUGUUUAACUAAGGUAACGAUGGAUCUCUUAAUAAAAUAAAAUAAAAUAAUUAAUUUAAUAAAAUAAAAAAAUAAAACUAACUAAUAAAAAAAUAUUAUUUUUAUAUUUUUAUAAUUAUCUUUGACAUAAAUAUUUUUUCCUCUCUUGAUAUUAUUUUUUAGGGAGUGUGAUUAGUUUAACGUUAAAAUAAAAAAUAUUAAUUAGUAAUGAAAACUUAAAAGAAAUAGAUAGUUAUUCUAUUUUGAUUUGCAUAAUAGAUUCAACCUAUUAUUCUAAAUCUAUUUUUGUUUAGAUUAAAAGGAGAAUAAGGAAUGAAAGAUAAGAGAAAUAUAAUAGAAAAUAUUGAAAAGUAAAUAUUUCUAAAUGAUUUGAUUGAUAUUAGAAAAUUAUUUAUAUUAAUAUAAUUAAAAAAUAAUUUCAUUUAAUUUAUUAUUUUAAUUAUUUAUUUGAUUAAAAUAAAAAAACUUAAAUAAUAAUAAAUUAUAUUAAAAUAAUAAUAAUCGAUUAUGUAAAAAAUAAUCAAUUAUCUCUUUUUCUUGUUUUGUCCGUAAAUCAUUUUUAGGUUGUCUAUAACUUUUAAACAUUUUUAUUUUACGUGUUUUAAUAUUUUAUAAUUCUCAAUUAUUUCUUUCUUUCUUUCUAUCCUUCUAGAAACAAAAAGAUGGCAAACAAUCUUUUCUUUACUUUGCUUUAUAUCACCAAAGAACUAAUUUCUUUCUUUAAACUUUUCUCUCUCUCAUGCAACCCAUCUUUUUUAAUCAAUAGUGUGAUGUAAGAAAGCACAAGUAUUAAUAAAUAAUAAAAUUUAACCAUAUAUAAUAAAAAAAUACAUUAACAUUGAUUUGCAAUGAUAAUGAUUUGUAUUCUUUAAAUAGGUUAUUACCUGUUCAAAUUUGAAUAAUGUCAAUUUAAAUAUGAAAUAACUCAUAUCAAGCAAGAGUAAAAAUAGUUGGAAAAAAUAUAAAUAAGUAAAAAAUAAAGUGAAAAUAGUAAUUAUUAUAUUUAAGAAAAAAAAGAAAAAAGAUUAAGCUACUUUGGUUUGAAGAAAAUUAGUGUCACACUUGCGAUUCUUGUAUCUUUAUAGUUGUAAAAAUUGAUGUGGGUUAAAAUAUGGCAAAUAUAAUUAAUUACCAAUUAUAAUAAUAACAUUAAUUUUGAAGUUUUGUUAUAAUUAAUCUAUAACGAACUGGUUGGUAUCAAAGAAGAUAAUAUUUUUUAUUGAAAGUAAUUACUAUGUUAUUCAAAAUUAAAAAUAUUUUUAUUUAUAUACAAAUAUUAUAUUUGUAUAUGAUUGAAACUUACAUUAAUUUAUCACUCCAUCGUUAACUUAAUGUAUUUUCAGAUAUUUUCAUCCGUGAAUGGAAAAAUGUCAAUCUUUUUACAACGGUUAAAGUGUUUACCAGAUCUUUAUAAAUACAAAUUUUCAAAAUUUCUUCUUUAUUUCGUCUGACAUGCUGAGUUAUAUUAGGAGUCUAUUUGGAUAAUUUAAAAAAUAUCCAUAAACUAAAACUAAUUUGUAUAAAUUAAAAUUAUUUUAAAAAGUGCGAAAAAUAUUUUAUAAAUUAAUUUACAUGCAAUCUAAUUUAAUUUGUGAAAAAAUAAAUUUUUAUAUUUUUAAAUGUUAAUUGGGAAACUUAUUCAAAUAUAUUAUAAAACUUUAUUUUACGAGUUUUUGCUUCAAUUUUCCCGCUCAAUUCUUGAACAAAAUUAUAUUUAAUUAUUUGCAUCUAUUUUAAAGUAAUCUAUAAUUAGAGAAUUUGGAAUUUAAAAUAUUAUAAUACUAUAUUUAAGAAAAUCAACAUAUUUUUAAUUGUUUUGUGAACUUUGUUUUAUGCGAGCGUGUAGCCUUGAAGCAAAUAAUAGUUUACUACUAUUAUAAAAAUAGUAACAAGAAGGAUAAAUAAUUUUUUCUUAUAUUUAUAUAAUUAAUUUAAUUUUUCCUUUCAUUACUAAAACAUUAUAUUUAGUUUUUCAACUUUUAAAUUAACAUUAAUUUGAUCUUUUCUAUAAUGCAUAAACGAUCUACAUGAAGAAAUCAAGUUUAUAUUGAUUUAAAAUUUAAGAAUUUUAAUUAAAGUUUUUAAUGAUAUUAUUCUUAUAAGACUGAUAUUAUUUUAGCAAAAUAAAAUUUCACUUUUUAGCCUGGUUAGUUAUGUUAUUUAUAGCUCUCGUUAGUUAUGUUAUUUAUAGUCUUUAAGAGUUUGGUGAUAUUUUAUUUUAAUAAAGAGGUAUCUUUAGUGAUACUCAAUGCUUUAGCAAUGAUCAAUGUCUUUUAUAUUUGAGAUUGUUACCCAUUUAUCUUUAUAGAUCUUGCAGGCGAGUCCAUAUCUCAUUUAACCUUGACUUAAUUGUUUGCUAAACGUGUUGGUUUAAGAUACUAUUGCGUACGUAAUUGUAAUGAUUUAACGUUGAAUAGGUUCUUAGAUUAUUCUGAUAGGCUGAGACCUUCUUGACUAGUUGACUAAGACUAAACAUAUAUUUUGAGAUGACCCCUCAAGGGAUCAUAGGCCUCUACUCAUACAUUGACUCCUUAGGUUUGAGGAGGUGCUUAACGAGAAGUUUAUGUUACAUAUUAACCUAUUAUUUAGCUUGUUUUUUGUUAUUCUCUUGAGGUUGAUUGACCAGUCAAUCAUGACCUACAUAAGCAAAAGCAUAUUGUAUUUGAGUUUAGAAAAACAAUAACAUACCUCAUUCAUAUGUUUUCUCUUCUCUUCUCUUCUCGCACUAACCUAUGUUCUCUCUUGACUGUUCAGAAAUCCAUUGAUUAGGGUUUCCCUUCUUUCAUUGGUGUUAUUCGAUGAGUCUUAGGAGAAACCCUAGAUCCCCACUAUAAAAGAUUUUUUUUUACCAUAUUAUCGAGUCUAUAUAUGCUGCUCCCAAGCUUGAGUAGAGGUCACACAAUGAAAAGUCUAGAAUCCUCUUCAAACCACCCUUGUGAGACGUGCAUGUGUGAUUGUAACAUUUUAGAGUUGAGGAAAAGUGUUAUUAUGAUCAUUAAAGAUGGAGAGGGGUUGUGAAGGUUGGGCUUUCACGAACUAUCUAAAAAGGGCUCAAUCUUAAGUGUUGUGACCAUAUGGUGCUAAACCAUAUAUGGUUAGGGUUUUUGAUAUUUAACUUUACUUCUCGAAAUUGCUCCUUAAAGGUCCUUAGUGACUUUACCUUCUCUUAUUGAAUGUUUAUUCGCAGACUAUUGAUGUCAACUACUAAGGAUGACUAGUUGCAAAUCAUGUUUCAAACUUCACAACUAGAGUGAUAAAAUUGUCAAUAAAAUGAGGUGAUAGCCUAGUGAAUCAACUUAGACAACUCCCUUUAAGGAUGUUAGGAACACUCGACACAAAAUUACAUCAUCCAUCAUGUACAAACACAUAUGUGUGAUGUACACAUUAAUGUGCUUAUUGUGAUAUUUAUCUAAGGUAUAAUUUUUCUAUGUUGAUGGGACAUAAUUCGAUUCAGAGUGGGAUGUCAACACAAUCAUAAUGUGCUUAGGAAGGUAUGACUUUAGGCAUGAUAAUAUGUUUUGGUAGCCAAAUAGCUCUCGAUCUCCUGCAUCUUGGAUGCGAGUGGUAGGAAUGUGUCAAUCUAUGUAGCAUAGAUACGAAUACGGACACUGACACGAUACGAAUACGGACACGGAGAUACGUAUAAUCUCUAAAAUGUAUGACACAGGGACACAGAUCUAUAUAUUAUAUAAUUUUGAAUUAUAUAAAUUGAAAAUAAAUAUUUAUGUGUAAAAAUAUGUUUCAGAUUCCUCUGAGAGCAGGUAAGAUAUUUUUCAUGAGUGGUUUAAAAGAAUUUGUUCCUUAUUUUUAUAAUCGUAACAAAAAUUUAUGCAAAAAAAUUGAGUUUUUAGAAAAUUAUUGUAUGUAUACCUUUUAAAAUUGUGUUAAAACUAUGCUAAAAUUUUCAAAAAUCCAACAAAUAUUUUUUGAAUUGAAUACUUAACCGAUAAGUACCCUACGAGUAUCAACAUCGAUACGUGUGUCCGACACGAAUACGUCAUUUUAAGAGAAAUGUCUGAGUCUCAUGCCAAUAGAGUUUUCUUUGGUCUUCACUCCUUAUCUAGGUUGGCCAAGAAGGUACAAAUCUAUCCUUUUUCAACUUUUUCUUCAUUUAGACAUUUUCAUUCCUCAAGGCAUUAAAUUCUGCAGUGUUAUUUUUCAUUAGGAUCUGAAGCUAUUUUCAUAGUUUCAACAAUAAUAUUGUUUGGUCUAAAUUCUUUUACAAUUCUUGGAGUGAUGGUCACUCAUUAUUUGUCAUGUUACAUAUAGAAAAAAUGUAGUUUUCAAAGAAAGUCUUACCCAAUAUCAAAGUGGGGGACAACAUACUUUUAUAAAAUCAAGAUAAUUCUCUGUAAAAUCGUAUUAAUUCUUAUCAUUUAUAUUAUUUUCAAUCUUUAAGAAUUCAGUAAUACUAUCUCAAUUGAUAAAGAGGUGCAUGCAGUUAUAUUAAAUAUAAUAAAAAAUAUGUAAUAAUAUGUCUCUUUUACAUUAUAAUUAUUAUUUAUUAAUUUAAAUGUAUAUUAUUACAUAAUUAUAACAAUGAAUUAAUCUCAAUUAAUCAUAAUAAAUUUAAUAAGUGAAACCAUUCACCUAGUGGAUUAUAAGUUAUUCCAACAUGAUACAAGAGGAAUUAUAUAAUAAUAAUAAUAACUACACCGAAACAUACCUUUAAAUUAAUCCUAGUAGGCUUGACGUUCACAUGCCUCUUUUCUUACCUAUUUACAAGUAAAGUGGAAUAAAUUAUCAGUUUUUCUUUAAAAAAUUCUUUUAGAAUGAUAUCUGUUGUGUAAGAUACAAAUCACACUAAAAUUUUUCAAGUUCAUACUAAGAGUAUAAAUGGAAUAGAACUUCCAGAUAAUAAAACAUCACAUUAUUAUUGAAACAGGUAAAUAAGACUAAACAAACAUUAAUAAUUUAUAAAUGUAAAUUUAAAAAAUAAAUCUUAUAAUUUAUUUAACUUUAUCUUUAUAUAAUUUAUUCAAUUUUAUUCCUAUAUUAUUAAAAAUAUCUAAAUUUUGAAAUUAACAUCAAUUUGGUUUUAAAUUUUAAUAAUAUAAAUAUUAUAUAAAUUAUAUAAAUACAAUGUAAAAAGGUAAUUUAACCUGAUAAUAAUAUACACAAUUUUAUAUCUCUUUGGAAGAGUAACUUCACAUUGACAUGUAAAUAUUCAUUCCCUUAAGAUUUUGUAUGUGUCGGCAGGUGGGGUCCACUUAUUCUCUAACGUAAAAAGAAGUUAAAGAUUUGAAUACUGAAAAAGUAAAAGCAAUUGCUGCUCCUGUCAGAAAUAAUAGGUUAUUCAAUUAAUUUGUUGUCACUUCUGUUUAUUGCAUAUCCAAUUUUGUACAUUUUCAUUUGAAAACUAUCACACUAAAAAGUUUUUCACAUCUAAGUUACACAUAAUCCAUCAACUUUCAACAUUUAAAAAAUUUAUUAAAUAAUAAUUAAAUUUAAUAAUAAAAAAUAAUUAAUCAUUAUAUUAAUUAAAUUAAAUAUUAAUUUAAAAAAUAAAAAAUUAUUUAUAUUUAAAAUAAUUUUUAUUAUUAAUAAAAAUUUAUAAAAUAGUUUUCAAAUUUAUAUCUAAAUUAAUUAUUUAAAUUUUAAUAACUAAUAUUUUAUAUUAUAAAAUAGUCUUUAAAAAAUUAAUAAAAAUUAAUUUAAUAUAUAAAAUAUUAAAUAAUUAAAACUUUAGUAAUUAGGAGUUAAAUACUAAUUUAUAAUUUAUUUUAUAAUUUUUUAUUAAUAAUAGAAAUGAUUUUAAAUGUCAAUAAUUUUUUUAAUUUAUAAAAUAAUAUUUAAUUUAAUUAAAUAAUAAUUAAUUAUUUUGGUUUUUAAAAUUAAUUUUUACUUAAUGAUUUUUAUUAAUGAUUAAGUUGAUGCAUAAAAAUUGAAAUUUGAUUGAAUGAUGUGUUCCACUCUCAAAUUGAAUACCAUUAGGAGGGUCACCAAGUUUACUUCAUAAAUUAGAUUUUACUCUAGUUUCAUUAUUAUUUUUAAAAACAUAAAACUUUUGGGUAUAUCAAAAUAUUUUAUGUACCUUGAAUAAUGUGUCAAUUAAUUACAGAGAAAAUAAUAGUAAUGUGAACAAGUAUUAUUUAAAGAAAGUGAAUUGAAAGCUUUAAAAUCUUAUAUUUAAUAAAAAGUAUUUGUGGUGGUUCAUUCAAUCUCUAUCAUCCUUUGGCAUCAUUUGUGUAGUUGGUGGCUGACUUUUCUUCUCAUUUUUUCUCAUUAUGUAUAAUGUUAGUUUCUGCAAGUAAUCCAUAAAAAUAAAAAAGCAAAGAACUAGUGCUUCUUUAUUCGUGGAGGAAAUUACAGUGGGGUCUUCUUCACUUGUAAUACCACUUUCUUAUCUUCUCCAAUUAAAUGGAAUUGUGAAUUAACAUCAUCAUCACUGUCCUUGAUAUUAGGACACACUGCAGGCUGCUUUCAUGGAAAUGAUAUGAACAGUAACAAUUGUCAGGCUUGCAGUUUCUUGGAUGUAGAUGGCAUGUAACUCACAAAUAGCAAAGAAAAGAAAAGGUGUAUUUAAGCAUAACCUUAAAUAGGAUAAUGUAACAUUAGAGUAAGUUUCAAGAGUUAUCAUGGUUGUUAAUGUCUUAAAAAGUUGAAUGUUGAACCUCUGAAAGUGUUCAUAGAUUAUUUACAACUAACUUUUUUUUUCUUACAUAUUUAUAUCAGUGGAUAGGUACAUAUUUAAUCUCAUUCUUUAAUUAUAUGACUAUCUAAUAUUCUACUCAGAGGUAAGAUGCUUGUUCUUAAUAGGAAGCAAAGGUUGAUUUUGUUCUUCUGAAUGAUCAUAAUAAGGUAAAAGAUGCUUAUUAAGUGUUGUACAUAAGAACAUGCACAUGAUUGCACUCAAAGCUCCUGGGCCAGAGAUAAGGGUUAAAUGGAAAAGAGAAACAACUAGAGAGAGAGAUCAUUCCCAUGUGCAAAAGCAUAGUUUACAGCCAAAAAUAUUUAUCUUUUCCAUUGCAUGGCAUCUUCAAAAGGCAUAUACCUAAAUCGCUGUCUUGCCUAACUAAUGUAUAAUCAAUUGAGUGCAUACAAGAAACCUUGGUUAAAAGCAAACUUACUUUGUGCCUCUUGACUUUUGCAGUUUGUAAUUAUACGUAUAUUUGUCUACCACAACACAACAGCAUUAGCUUCAAAUAUGCAAAACUACACAUCUGAUGACUAGGUUUUUUGUGACAGUUACUGCUGCCCUAACAAUGACUUGGUAUUGAUUAAUGUAAUGCACACAUAUGGCAUAGUUUAGUAUCACAGACAUGAGAUUUUUUUUUCAAGAUGCUUGAGUUAUUAAGGUGAUUUAGGAAGAGUUGAAGCAAGUUGUACAAAAGUAACUAUGCAUUGAAAUUGUAGGUAGUUGUCAAGGCCAAUAAAGCAGUGGAAUCUUGGGGGAAAAGUCUUUGGAUUCUUUGCAAUGAGGUAAAUGAAAGAGAGAUUUUAUUGUCAUACUGAAAAUGUGGUCCACAUCAACAAUGCCAUGUCCUCAUGGCUUGAUCACGUAUAUGGGGUUUCACCAAAAGAAAAAGAUAUCUCCAUUGAUUUUUUUUGAUGUAAAAAUGUUCAAAAAUAUAUUUGAUAUCUUAAUGAAAUUUUUUUUCACUACAAUAAAAUCAUGAAAUAGAAAUCAAUUUGUAGAUACCAAAAUAAUUAGUUGCAAUAGUAACUAAAUUAGAGACUAUUUUAAAAAUUAAAAAGAAAUUUGGUUUUUAAAUUAGUUUCUAUUAUUGUUAAAUAGUUUUUAAAUUGGUAUCUAAUUAGCAACCAAGAUUUUUGUUAUCAAAUUUAGAAACUAAAUAAUUGGUAGUUAAAAUCUUAGUUGUUAAUUAGAUAUCAAUUUAAAAAUUAUUUAAUAAUAAUAUAAAAUUAUAAAAAUUAAUUUAAAUUUUUUUUUUUUAGUUUCUAAAAUGAUAUGUGUUGUAAAUGCUCUACACCUUAUUAAUUGAUUUUUCUAUCAAUGCUUCGUUUGAAGUGUUGGUGACUCUUCAAGAUCGAGAAGCUACAAAGAGAUCAUACAUUAGGGACCACAAUAACCAAGACCAUGAUGUGAAGCUACUUUGACUUUUGCUUAUGGAUUUUAUAUACAUGGUGAUGUGGCCAUAAUGUACCCAUCAGUGAAUAAUGGAGACUCUCUCUCACUCACAUUUUGAUCACUCCACAUGGUCAAAUGCUGACCAUCUGAUCCACUCCAUGACAUGAUCAUGAUGCUGCAUGUUCAAGAUGUGAACUUCCUUUAUGAUCAUUUCAUUUUUUCUUUAAUGAACUGUAGACACAUUAUCUUCUUCUUGGUCCUUUGCAAUUAUUUACAUUUUUCUUGCUGCACAUGAAUACAGCUAAACGAGUGAAUUUUAUUUGGUGCACUUUGAUCCAGUGUGUUUGAUUGUUCAUCCCACUCUCUUGCACCCUUCAAAAUAAUCAAAUCCAAUAGCUACAAUUAAUCUAGUGGUUGGCUCUCAUAGGUUGUAUGAAUGCACCCAAAUUUGUCACACUCCAUCUAUAUCCUUUUAGUCAAGUGGUAAAGGGUGAUAAUAAUGCAUAUUUGUUUUCCCCACAUUGUUUAAUAUUAUUUUAGUACUUUUAAUGCUCAUACCAUCCUCUUAGUCCUGCUGAUUUUUUUUUCUUUUAAAAAUCAUCACAAAUCAAAGUCUCUUGCUUUAAUCAUUAUUAUGUAUUUUAUUUAUCUUUUCACUCACUUGAAAUCUAAAUUUAAAAUUAAUAUUAUAAGAAUAUUUUAAUUUAGAAGUAGACAUGAAAGAGAGGAAUGAAACAUUUUAAAUGAGUAUGUGUGAGUUCUUUAGAUUUAUAUUGAAAUGAGAAGAACAAGCUGAAUUUCUUUUUGUAAUGAGUAAAACACAAUUGGUUGGGAGUGUCGUUUGUGUCUCACAAUGAUCUUGUCUCAAAAUUUGUUCAAUUCAGGAUGAACACGCUUUCUGAUUCGAUUAAUGACGUGUGGAGUACAAUUUGAGUUGGGGUUGUGGGAAAAAUCUGGAAUCACAGGAAUUCUAUCAUUUUCAAUAGGAGUGUGACUGAUGCGUCUGAAAUUGGAUUUUUGUAAAUCUCGCUUUGCUUCGGGGUUUUCUUUUCCUGUUGGUGUUUGAAACCUUUGGAAUGUAUACGAAUGAUUGUUUGAUGUAUUUUAGGUUUUUAGUAUGGGUAGUGUUUUUGCUUGUUGGUUUGGUGGUUUUUGUUAGAUGUUGGUUACUGUAUCUCUUGUAUAAGGGCUGAUUCACUUCUGAAGUGGUUCACAUUUAUUUAUUUGUUAUUGCUGAUAAAAAUGGCUUAAUUUUUAUUUAGGGUUUUCAUUUUUUUUUCAAAAAAGCAAUUUAUAAUUUAUUUAACUUUUUUAUCCCUUUUUUUAAAGAACGUAUAAUUAUUCACUAGAAUAUGAGUAUCUAUCCAUUAUUUUCUAAAAAAAUAAAGGAAAGAAAUUGCAUGCAAAAGGUUUGUAAUCAAAUGCUGUCCACCUAAACCCCUUUGGUAUUUUAAAUUCUAAACCAUUACUUUACAGUGUUAAAACAUUAAAAUAGUACCAAAUACAAGGACAAAUAUGUCUUACCACUUUUAUACUUUAUUCCCUCUCAUAAUGCAUAACGUUUGUGAUCUAUAGGAACCCACAUGCCAUACUUAUAUAUAAUUAUAAACUAAUAAUCAAGUUCUUGUACAUUAUUCAGAAUAUUCUUCGCAAAUAUAUAAGAUCUAUAAAAGUCUACUUUUAAAAAUAAUUUUUAUUUAUUGGACUAUAUAAACAAAAAUUAAAUAUACUUGCAUUUCAAAAUAUUAUAAUUUUGAUUACAACUUGGGAAUAAUUAAUAUGUUAGUGAAAUUAUGUGAAGAAAAUAAAUUAAAUUGAUAUCCUAAUGGUUUGUUAAUGUUGAAUAUAAAAGGACUUUAUCUUUGAAGUGAGCAUGUGUUGUAAUAUUUUUUAGGAUUGUAUCAGAAUUUGACCUGCAUGGUGUCCACACCUUACAAUUUAGUUUUUGCUGAAAAAAAAACCCUUAAAAUUUAGUUGUAAAAAAGGUUACUGCACACCUAUCUUCCAGACAUCCCUAAUCAAGUUUCUCCAAAACCUCAUGCUAAGAACCCUACCAAUUUUUUUAUUUCACAUUUUUCUAAUACUUAUUAUUAUUCAAAUAAUCAAUCAUUUACCCUAUAAAUAUUAUACUUUUUCAUCUUCAUGAUUUACAUGCAUGCAUGUUGCCACUAUAGACUAUACAUGGGACAACUAUCUUGAAUACCUCGCAAAAAGUCUUCCCCCAAAUAACCCAAUCAUCAUUUCAUGUACAAAUCCUCCAAACUUUUUACCAAACUAGGUAGAUCUCAUGUCCUCUAAUCAUUUCAGGUUUGGGUAGGAUCAUUUUUUUUUUCAUUUUAAUUUUAACAUGUAGUAUUCAAGUAAAUUAAUCAGUGAAAAUUUCAAUUUGUUAAAUGAUCCAAUUUAAACGGUUAAAAAAUAUAUGAAAUCUUUUAAAUCUUUUAAGUAUUUGCAGUAAAAAAACUAUUAAAAUGAUAGUUGUUAUAAGUUUUUUUUACAUUAGAAACACAAAUUUAUAACGUUAAUUAUAUUAUAAUAUUUAUGUUAAUGAUAAAUAACAUAAAAUAUUUUAACAUUUUAGUCCAUUCAUGUUGAUUUAUCAUUGAUGUAGAUAUUAUAAUAUUAUCAAUAUAAUUUAUAUUGAAAUUUUUUUAUUACAUAAAAAAAUUUGACGAUAAAUCCUUUUAAUAAUUUUUUUAUUAUAAAUAUCCAGAAGAUUUAAAAAUUAGUCUAAAAACAAAAAAUAAUUUUAUAUAAAAAUAUAAAAACAAAAUAUAUAUUUAGCCCUUUUUAAAAUAAUUGUUAUCCCUAAGAGACCAAAUUUACCAUUUCAGGCACAUGACAAUAGUAACUUUUUCUUUAAACCACGUUAUGUUCAAUUUAUGUUAGAGAAGCUAAUGCAAGUAAAGAUCCUGCUUCAAUUCUACUAGUUGAAAUCAAUUACACAAAUCCUUAUAUGAAAUCUCCUAUGUGUUUUUCAAUAUAUGUUGUUUAGCUGAUAAAAAAACUUCUCUGCAAUCUAUUUAAACCAUGUUUUUUUUGUAACUGUGUUUGGAGCUAUUAAGAAAAAUAACGAUUUGAAUCGAUAAGAAAUCACCAUCCUUCUAUAUAUAUAUAUUAAAAUCAUUCGAAAUAAUUAAUUUUUCUCAAAUUCAUUAUGCACACCUAUCUAGGAUUAAAAUAAGCAUAUAUAGUAGAUUCUGGUUUUGUCUUUUUACACGAAGAAUCUCGUUUCAAAAAUCCAAAAAAAUAGUUUUAAAAAUGUGUGUUGUGCAGUCACUUUCACUUCAUAUUCAAGUAAAAGAAUUUACCCCAAGACAUAGCAAGACAGCACUGAAGUAGCUGGUGUUCUUGUUUUCUUGUUCUACUAUCUCUGAUAUUUUGCACUAAAAGUUGCCCAAAAUCAAACUUACUACUACUUUAACUGUUGCUCAUUAUCAUACCAAAAAAAACAGUGUGGCUAUAUCCUCCCAUAACUUGUGUGAAAUAUAUUACAACUCAAACGUUAAUGACAUUUGUUGAGAGAGACAUAGGAAAAAAUGACAUUCAGUCAAUGGGAAUGUGACAUCUAUGUGAUCACGAAUGGUCAAAUAUAUGGCCACUCUGGAUCUGAAACCUAAACAUGUUCUUUUCUUUUAAAUGUUUUCCAUCUAUGAUCAACCUCUACAAUAUCAUUCCCCAAGUUGCUUCCUUCACCCUUCCUUUUCUGUCAUACACAUUCAUUACUUUAUUUCUUAUAAGCUCCAUAAUUGAUUUGAUUGGAAUAAUAAUACACUGUGACGGUGAAUUAUAAAUUGUUUCACUAUUAUGAAUAAAACUUCUCUAACAACACGUUUCUCUUCUGUCUGUGGUUGCUUUUAUAUACUGCUAAAUCUUUAGUCAAUCCUUGUUUAAGAAUAACCACCUGUUAUUACUAUUUUAUGUAUUAAACUACUGCACGUAAUCAACAUUAGUUUCAAGUGUUUUGUAUGCUAUAUUGUAAAGUUAACAUCUAUAUUUGACACAUUAGUUUAAUACCUUUUUACAAGAUUGACACAUGUCAAUCCUUGGUAUCAUAUACAAUGACUUUCCUUGUUUCAUAUAUAUAUAUAUAUAUAUAUAUAUAUAUAUAUAUAUAUAUAUAUAUUACUUAUUAUUAUANNNNNNNNNNNNNNNNNNNNNNNNNNNNNNNNNNNNNNNNNNNNNNNNNNNNNNNNNNNNNNNNNNNNNNNNNNNNNNNNNNNNNNNNNNNNNNNNNNNNAUAUAUAUAUAUAUAUAUAUAUAUAUAUAUAUAUAUAUAUAUAUAUUCCUUUUUAUAAUAUACUGCACUAAUAUCAGUCUUUUUCAUGUUCAGUUUGGAUUUGAUGAAUACUAUUCAAUCGGAUUGGAAAACAAUGAUUUGUUGGAGAACUAGGGUUACUAACUAGAAUUAAACCCUAAAUCCUAAUUACAUAAAAAAAUACAGGUAUAAUUAUUUAUGAAGUAUUAUUACUAUAUUAAUAAUUUUUAUACUUUUUUUAUGAUAUUUUUUGGGUUUUUUUUUAUCAAAAUUCCCUACUUUUAUCAUUUAUGUCGAUUCUUUUCAUUUUUUAUCGGUUUGUUUCUUCCAUUAUUCUUCAUAUUGUUGUUUAUGUGUUUGUUACGUUUUUCACAACCUAAAAAUGAUUUCUUUUUUAUUUUUUUUUAUAAAAAAAUUGAUUGCUUUUGAUGUUUCUAUUGAUAUAAAAAAUUAUGUAAAAUUUAAACUAUAUUAUAAAAGUAAAAUAAAAAAUUAAUGUUGUAAGUGAAAAAUAAAUAAAAGUAAAAUCAUAAAACAAUUAUUUCACAUUUAUUUCCAGUCAAUUACGAAGAAUGAAAAAAGCUAAUUAGCGGGAGAAGAAGGAAAUGACAUCCUGCACCAAUGCGAAGAUAUACGAAGAAUAUAAUAUAAUAAUAAUAAUAAUAAACUAAUAUAUUCAUAUAAUAAUAAUAUAAAUAUAUUUAUAUAAUAAUUUAAAUGUAUUUAUAAAAUAAUAAUAAAAGAAAAUAAAUUAAUAAUAUAAAUAUAAAAAUUAUAAAAUAAUAAUAAUAAUAUGCGUAAAAUUAUUAAUAAUAAACUAAUAUAUUCAUAUAAUAAUAAUAUAAAUAUAUUUAUAUAAUAAUUUAAAUGUAUUUAUAAAAUAAUAAUAAAAGAAAAUAAAUUAAUAAUAUAAAUAUAAAAAUUAUAAAAUAAUAAUAAUAAUAUGCGUAAAAUUAAAAAUAAUAAUAAUAUAAAAAAAGGUAAUAAAAUUAUAAAUAAAAAUAAUAAUUAAAAUAAAUUUACUAAAUAGUAAUAUUAAAAAUAAUUUUUUUUAUUUUAUAAAAAUAUUUUGUAUGUAUCUAUAAUAAAAAAUAAAAAAUAUUAAAUAAAUUUAAGCAAUAAAAAUAUUUAAUAAUAUUAUUAAUAAAAAUAAAUACUAAUAAUUAAUAAUAAAAAAUAUUUAUAAUAUAUAAAAAAAUAAGUAUACAAAAUUUUAAUUACUAAAAUUUAUAAAAAAAUAUUUCUUUUUUAAAGACUGGGAUAAUUUACAUUUUAAUAUUUUAAAAAAUUAAAAAUUUCCUCACACACAUCACAUAUAAUUUUAAUAAGCUUUCUUCACAAAUUUACUCUACAUACCUUAAUCCAAACAUCCUAACUUUUUUCACACUUUUCUCUCAAAUCAAUCUAAAUCCACUCCCUCAAAUUUUCACCUUUUUUCUCACUAAUUCAAACACAACAUUAUUGUUUUAGGUUAUAUAUAUAUAUAUGAAGGGUGAUGUAAUGAGACUUAGGUAUGUGGUAGCUAUCUAUGUAGCUAUGAAUGAAUCUUACUAUUUUGGAAUACAUUGAAACAGAAGUUAGAAACUUACCAACCGUUAUGGAACAUGGGAAAAAUGGAAACUGCCACCGAAAUUUACUAAAAUAAGAGCAAGAAAUUUAUAAGCUAUGGUAUCUUCACUUUUCUUCCAUCCCCUUUCUUUAACUCACUCAUAUACUCUUCCCAUCCUCCUUAUCUUAUUAUUAUACGAAUUAUAAUUCGUAUAAUAAAAGUUAAUAUUUAAAAUUAACAUAUAUUAGGAAGAUAAAAAUUAACAUGCUAAAAAUACUUAUAAUAUUGCACCUAACCUUUAUCAACGUUUUCAACUUCUACGUAACUUGGGUCACAACAACCAUUACUAUUAAUGUUUUCAUUAACUCAACUAACGUCAGUAUUCCACCACUCGAUCACUCCAAAGCUUGAGGACCCAUUAGGGAUAAGAACCCACCUUCGUUGGAUUCAGGGUGUAUAUUUUUUUCAACACAAAAUUAAUUAUAAAUUACAGUUGUUACUAAGAUGAUGUUUGGUUAAAUUUAUGAAAGUGACUUUUAGGAUACAUUUAAUUAAUCAAGAGAAUUUUGUUUAAUUGGACACUUAAAACGUAUUGCUUGUAGCAAGUUCUUAUAUUAAAUGUAUUAAUCAAACAAUGAUUAUAACCUAUAGGGUUUAUACAAAAAAAAAAACUUUCGUUAAAAAAAGAUAUACUACAAGGAGGAAGCAAACAAUAAACUGUUGGUAAAUAUUUUGUUGUAGUGAUUAUGUCAAUAUCGGUGUUUUGUUCGUAAAAAGAGUUCACUUAAUAAGAAAUACAAUACGAAAGGAUUUCGAAAAACAAAGGAAAAUGAAUAUGUUGAGUAAUGAUUUUGGCAUUUAUUUAAUUCGUAUUAUGAGAGAGGAAAACCGGGCAGUAUCAAAUGUUUUGGUCCUACAUAGGAUCAGAAUUAUUAAAUAAGUUCGAUAAAAAAAUUAUCCAACACUCGAAAGGUAAAAUUAGUUUGUUUAUUUUAAAAUGUAGGUAUAUUUGGAAGAUUUUAAAUUUGUUUUUCUUGAAUAAAAAAUUGUGAUUAAUUUAAAUUUUGAGAAGAAAAAUAAAAUUAGUAAUUGAAGAGGAAAAGAUAUGAAUUUGGGUGGCAUUUAUAUUGCAAAGUAAGAAAUAAAAGGUGGAAAGUAAAAGGAAUUUUGUUUUUUCCGAAAAGAAAGUGAGCAAUGGCAUGCUGCAUGUGCAAGUGUGGUGCACACUCUAAAAUGUCUAGAGAACCCUAGAUCAAUUUAUUAGAGAGAGAGAGAGUAAAAAAAGAGGGAUACUCUUUCUAAAUCAUUGAGGCUGCUAAGGACCAUGUCGUACCACACUUUUUAAGUCUUCCGGUGCCAACAAAUAUCGUUUACUCUCUGCAAAACCAUUCAUUUAUAUUUUCAGAGUUUUAGUAAGAUGUUUUAAGACCAGCAGUCACAAAUUACAAACUAAAAUGAUAGUUUAACGAUUAUAAAAGUUAUAUAUAAUUUUUGAAAUAAUGGAUUUAAAAAUAAAUAUAUAUAAUAAAGAGUAAAUUUAUAAUUAAAUAAUAGGCAAGUUUUUUAAAAUAAUAGUAUUAAAAAUUAUAAUGUGAUUAUAUAAAAAAUUGGAUUAUGAAUAUAUCAUUACCCAAAAAAUACCCAACAGUUAAACGGACAUUAAUUCAUGUUUCAGUAUUUUAAAUUCAUUUUUUGUUUCCUUCUAAGUACCACUUCCAUCUAAUUGGUCAAGACAAUAGUAAUAAUAGUUUAUUUAUAUUUACUGCCAAAAAAAGGACAAAUGUCAUUAUCGUAAUUUAAGGCUUUUUUUCUGUUUGCGAACGUGAAUAUAGGGGAAUGUAGUUUUCUACUUUAAUUGAUAUUUUUUAUGAGAUAAUUAUUAGCGUUUUAUUAAAAAAUAAUUAAGGGUAGAAGGAGGAGAAAAGGUGAUUGGAAUGGGCAUGCAUGAACGGGUGAGGAGAAAUUUAGCAAAAUGAUUAGUUGGUGUGGAAUGUGGUAAAGAAAGAAUCUAUAUAAAGGGUGGCACUUGGUUGUGAAAGAGCAUAACAAAACCCCACUUUGUAGUGAGGUUGAGGGAAAAAACAAUGAGGUCUCUAAUGGCCUCCGCAACAGUCACUCUUGUGUUAGCAAUACUGUCUCUAAGCUUGCCAUCUCAAAUCUCAGCUGAUACCUACUUGUACUCAUCACCUCCUCCUCCCAAGAAGCCCUAUUAUUAUCACUCUCCUCCACCACCUUCACCUCCUCCACCUAAGCCAUACUACUAUCAUUCACCACCACCACCUUCACCUCCUCCACCCAAGCCAUACUACUAUCACUCACCACCACCACCUUCACCUCCUCCACCUAAACCAUACUACUAUCACUCACCACCACCACCUUCACCUCCUCCACCUAAACCAUACUACUAUCACUCACCACCACCACCUUCACCUCCUCCACCUAAACCAUACUACUAUCACUCACCACCACCACCUUCACCUCCUCCACCUAAGUCAUAUUACUAUCACUCACCACCACCACCACCCAAAAAGAAGCCAUACUACUACCAUUCUCCCCCACCACCUUCACCACCUCCUCCUAAGCCAUACUACUAUCACUCUCCCCCACCGCCUUCACCUCCUCCACCUACGCCAUACUACUAUCAUUCUCCCCCACCACCCUCACCACCUCCACCUAAGCCAUACUACUACCAUUCACCACCACCCCCACCGAAGAAGAAGCCUUACUACUACCACUCUCCACCACCACCUUCACCUCCUCCUCCAAAGAAGCCAUACUACUACCACUCCCCACCUCCUCCCAAGAAGCCCUACAAAUAUUCAUCUCCCCCACCUCCAGUGCACCCUUACCCUCAUCCUCACCCCCAUCCCCAUCCACACCCCCACCCUCACCCUCCCUACGUUUACAAAUCUCCUCCCCCACCCCCUAAGAAGCCAUACAAGUACCCAUCCCCACCACCUCCAGUCCACGUUUACCCUCACCCUCACCCGCAUCCACACCCUCACCCUCAACCUCACCCCCAUCCACAACCCCACCCUCCCUACAUUUAUCAGUCUCCUCCACCACCCCCUAAGAAGCCUUACAAGUACCCAUCGCCUCCACCUCCCGUCCACCCAUACCCCCAUCCCCACCCUCUUCCUCAUCCCCACCCUCACCCUCUUCCACAUCCCCACCCUCUUCCCCAUCCUCACCCUCUUCCUCAUCCCCACCCUCUUCCCCAUCCUCACCCCCUCCCUCCUUACACUCCUCAUCCAAUCUAUCACUCUCCAUCACCACCACCACCUUACAAGAAGCCUUACAAGUACAAGUCCCCUCCACCACCUCCACACUACAUCUACGCAUCACCUCCACCUCCUUACCACUCUUAGACAGUGGUCAACUAGCAUAGUUCUAUGGUAACCUUCUUCAUACCUACGUACAUGCUACAUUAUUAUAAUUUCUCAUUAAUGGUUCCGCAUUUUUUUACAUCUAUACUUGUUCCCAAAAAAUGAAUACCAAACCCUCGUGAUCCCUGUCAAGGUUUUUAACUUGAUACGGAAAAUGAUUUUUCUGGUUUGGUUUUAUAGGGACCACGUACCCCUCACUGAAAUUGACAGACACUAUAAUAAUAUGUGCAUGUGUUCUAAUGUUUUGUAGGAUGUGAAGAAUAUAUGCGACAAAUAAAGAAAGAGAUGGAAAGAAGGGCACGAAAGAGAAAAAUGGAAGCAAAGUUUCCGCGUUUUGUCUUUCAUAAAAAAA
rnacentral:lncRNA from 1 species